CCUAUAUUUAUAUCCUGUAGUCUUUAUCGAUUAUGUGUUAUUUCUUCUUUGAGCAAAUUAUAGUGUUUCAGGCAGGCGUGCGCCGGAAUACAUUAGCAUGGUAUAAUCGAAUUGGACCGUGUAUCCAUUAUUUGGAUUCCUCCUUAUUUGUUGGUUUAAAGGACACGGAAAUGGUUAAUAGGGAUAGUAUUUAAUCCAGGGGAGGCAUUAGUAUUUAAUUUCCAGAGGUGAAAUUCUUUGAAAUAUUAAAGACUAACUUAUGCGAAAGCAUUUAUUUUGCCAAUAAUGUUUUCAUUAAUCAUUGAACGAAAGUUAGGGGAUCAAAGACGAUCAGAUACCGUCCUAGUCUUAACCAUAAACG
rnacentral:rRNA from 1 species